GACGAACGCUGGCGGCGUGCCUAACACAUGCAAGUCGAACGGAAACGCCCUGCUUUUGUGCGGUGCUCGAGUGGCGAACGGGUGAGUAACACGUGAGUAACCUGCCCUUGACUUUGGGAUAACUUCAGGAAACUGGGGCUAAUACCGGAUAGGAGCUCCUGCUGCAUGGUGGGGGUUGGAACGUUUCGGCGGUUGGGGAUGGACUCGCGGCUCAUCAGCUUGUUGGUGGGGUAGUGGCAUACCAAGGCUUUGACGGGUAGCCGGCCUGGGAGGGUGACCGGCCACAUGGGGACUGAGAUACGGCCCAGUCUCGUACGGUAGGCAGCGGUGGGGAAUAUGGCACAAUGGGCGGAAGCCUGAUGCAGCAACGCCGCGUGCGGGAAGACGUCCUGCGGGUUGUAAACCGCUUUCGCCUGUGACGAAGCGUGAGUGACGGUACCGGGUGAAGAAGCACCGGCUAACUACGUG
rnacentral:rRNA from 1 species